rnacentral:rRNA from 1 species
CUACCAUGCAGUCGAGCGGCAGCGACACAUUGAACCUUCGGGGGAUUUGUUGGGCGGCGAGCGGCGGACGGGUGAGUAAUGCCUGGGAAAUUGCCCUGAUGUGGGGGAUAACCAUUGGAAACGAUGGCUAAUACCGCAUGAUAGCUUCGGCUCAAAGAGGGGGACCUUAGGGCCUCUCGCGUCAGGAUAUGCCCAGGUGGGAUUAGCUAGUUGGUGAGGUAAGGGCUCACCAAGGCGACGAUCCCUAGCUGGUCUGAGAGGAUGAUCAGCCACACUGGAACUGAGACACGGUCCAGACUCCUACGGGAGGCAGCAGUGGGGAAUAUUGCACAAUGGGCGCAAGCCUGAUGCAGCCAUGCCGCGUGUAUGAAGAAGGCCUUCGGGUUGUAAAGUACUUUCAGCAGUGAGGAAGGAGGUAUCGUUAAUAGCGGUAUCUUUUGACGUUAGCUGCAGAAGAAGCACCGGCUAACUCCGUGCCAGCAGCCGCGGUAAUACGGAGGGUGCGAGCGUUAAUCGGAAUUACUGGGCGUAAAGCGCAUGCAGGUGGUUUGUUAAGUCAGAUGUGAAAGCCCGGGGCUCAACCUCGGAAUUGCAUUUGAAACUGGCAGGCUAGAGUACUGUAGAGGGGGGUAGAAUUUCAGGUGUAGCGGUGAAAUGCGUAGAGAUCUGAAGGAAUACCGGUGGCGAAGGCGGCCCCCUGGACAGAUACUGACACUCAGAUGCGAAAGCGUGGGGAGCAACAGGAUUAGAUACCCUGGUAGUCCACGCCGUAACGAUG